rnacentral:rRNA from 1 species
UGGGGAAUAUUGGACAAUGGGCGCAAGCCUGAUCCAGCCAUGCCGCGUGAGUGAUGAAGGCCCUAGGGUUGUAAAGCUCUUUCACCGGUGAAGAUAAUGACGGUAACCGGAGAAGAAGCCCCGGCUAACUUCGUGCCAGCAGCCGCGGUAAUACGAAGGGGGCUAGCGUUGUUCGGAUUUACUGGGCGUAAAGCGCACGUAGGCGGACUUUUAAGUCAGGGGUGAAAUCCCGGGGCUCAACCCCGGAACUGCCUUUGAUACUGGAAGUCUUGAGUAUGGUAGAGGUGAGUGGAAGUCCGGGUGUAGAGGUGAAAUUCGUAGAUAUGCGGAGGAACACCAGUGGGGGAGGCGGCUCACUGGACCAUUACUGACGCUGAGGUGCGAAAGCGUGGGGAGCAAACAGG